UUUGCUCCAUUAUUGCUUUGUAUCUGCUCCAUUAUUGCUCUGUAUCUGCUCCAUUAUUGCUCUUUAUCUUAUCCUUCCAGCUGGCAUUUUAUCUUCUUUAUUCUAGAUGUACUUCUGGGAUAAUAUUAUCUUCUCCAUUGCACCUCGCACAUUGGUGGUCUGGAUAUUUAUGUCCAAUUAUCUUACAGUAUCUUGUUAGUAGUCCGUCUGGAAUAAAUCCCUUUUUUAUUGCUCGUGCGGUAGAUUGUUUUUCUGGGUUGAGUAGUGUUAAUAUCGACUGUCUUACAUCUUCCAUAUCUGCUUGUC
rnacentral:lncRNA from 1 species